AUUGAACGCUGGCGGCAGGCCUAACACAUGCAAGUCGAACGAGUGGCGGAAGGGUGAGUAAUGUCUGGGCAACUGCCUGAUGGAGGGGGAUAACUACUGGAAAUGGUAGCUAAUACCGCAUACCAGCAGAUGGGCCCAGAUGGGAUUAGCUAGUUGGUGGGGUAACGGCUCACCAAGGCGACGAUCCCUAGCUGGUCUGUGAGGAUGACCAGCCACACUGGACCUGUGACCCGGUCCAGACUCCUACGUGAGGCAGCAGUGGGGAAUAUUGCACCAUGGGCGCAAGCCUGAUGCAGCCAUGCCGCAUGUAUGAAGAAGGCCUUCGGGUUGUAAAGUCCUUUCAGCGGUGAGGCGUUACCCGCAGAAGAAGCACCGGCUAACUCCGUGCCAGCUGCCGCGGUAAUUC
rnacentral:rRNA from 1 species